UACGUAGGGUGCGAGCGUUGUCCGGAAUUACUGGGCGUAAAGAGCUCGUAGGUGGUUUGUCGCGUUGUCCGUGAAAACUCACAACUCAAUUGUGGGCGUGCGGGCGAUACGGGCAGACUGGAGUACUGCAGGGGAGACUGGAAUUCCUGGUGUAGCGGUGGAAUGCGCAGAUAUCAGGAGGAACACCGGUGGCGAAGGCGGGUCUCUGGGCAGUAACUGACGCUGAGUAGCGAAAGCGUGGGGAGCGAACAGG
rnacentral:rRNA from 1 species